CAACCUGUCUGACAAGAUGUAAAUCUUCUAAAUGGCUGUGCGUACUAACUGCCAUUGUUAAUCUUGCAGAGACGGCGAGCUUGAGCGCGGAGUUCUUUGUCGUGAGUGAGCAGGAGUGCUGAAUUCGCCAGUAUGAACCCGAGAAAGGAUAAGAUUUAGAAAGACAAUGGACUGCGCAGACACAAAGGAAUGACAGAAGAAGAGAGAAGAAGCUGGACUGAGGACAGAUAGGAAGCAAAGUGGGAGAGAGAGAGGAUUGUGGAAGGUCCGAAAGCCAGGACUCGAACUCGGGACCCCUGAAGAGCAACAACGCUAUAUGUUGGCACACUACCCAUGAGGACUUCGGCACUGACGUGUCGCUGGAUUUUGAUCUUUUUGAUUCACAAGACAUUCAUUUAUGGACUGGAGUUGUGUGGAUUACUUGUGGAUUAUUGUGAUGUUUUUUAUCAACUGUUGGAACUCUCAUUUGACGGAACCCAUUCACUGCUGAGGAUCCAUUGGUGAACAAGUGAUGCAAUGCUAAAAUUUGCCAAAUCUGUUCUGAUUAAGAAAAAACUCAGCUAUGUCAUGGAUGGUAUGAGGGCAAGUAAACUUUCAGCAAAUUUACAUUUUUAGGUGAACCAUUCCUUUAAGAAUUAAUCUACAUUAGUCACUAUUGCCAAAUACAACCAUACAACAACUAAUGUAAAGGCCAUAUUUAGCAAUCAAAAUUAAUAACAGUUACAAAUAACCAACAAUUACUGCAAAGAGGUAUUAGACAAAAUUUGUUUUAAAUGCAAUGUUACAAAGGGCUAAUAGGCUUCCCAACAAUGCCCAUGCCUCCAAUCAGCAAGACAAACAUGGAAACCCAAACUGACUACAACUGGUCACAAAAGAUCACAUCAACCAAACCACUCAGAACAAUCUAUUUCCCUUUUACUAAACCCCAGGCAAUCUUACAAGAAUGAGGGAAAUUCCUUGUUAUGCCUGUUUUAAUAGCCUGGGUAUAAAUAGAGGGUAAUUUAGUCAUAUCAGAGAAGAGAAAGUAGAUUUUGAGUAGUAGCUCAACUUAACACACUCUGACAAAAUGAAUGAGAUGUAUAGGUCUGGAGGACGGCUUGACCCAGGGCAAGGUUAUUGACAUUGGCAGAGUCCAAAAAGUUCCCCAUGUUUGCAUUAACAGAUAUUUUUACUGUAAUCAGAAGGCAUCAAUCACAAAUCGCCAACCACAGGAACAGUUCCUCUACAGAGAUUUGGCAUAUUUACCCCACUACCAUUUCCCCCUGCUUUUGUUUAUGUUUCCAAGACACAGGGAUGAAAUAUCAUUUAAUACAUCCCAUUAAAUACGACAAGCCCUAAAUUGCCAAAGGGACUGUUUGGCAUUGAGAGUCUGAGAUCUCAUCAAUGAAGUCUCUCUGUGGCUGCGCAUGGACAAAAUGAGGUUUCUGUAGGUUUUGAAUGGCUGUGCAUGCUGCUGACCGCUGGCUGACCAAGUGCUCUUUGAACAUCAGUAAAUCAAUGGGCAGCAUUCACAAGGAAAGCAACCAGUGACUUCUGGAAAAGGAAGUUGAUUUGAAAACCUGAAGUUGUUUGAAGGGUCAUCAUAAGAAGAAUCCACAAACUAGAUCUGAUGUCCAAGUCAG